AUUUAAAUAGCUUAUAUAGAGCAUAAUAUUGAAGAUAUUAGGGAAAUAAAAAUUAUUUUUAAAUA
rnacentral:tRNA from 1 species